AUUAAUAAGAAAAAAUGCAUUACUGUCUUUGUCAAUGUAAUCAUAGCAGCCAAAUAUAAUAUUUCUAGAGUAACAGUGCAAAAAAAAAAAAAAAUUAGGUUCAUUUCUUUGUUUAUAUACUCUUUGUUUAUACUCUUUAAUUGCAAUGUCAAGUGCUGCCAGUGUGGGAGAAACAUCACUACGCAUGCGCGGAACCUCUCUGCAAUUUGAUUGGCUGUUUCCCAAAGUGCUGUUGUCUGAUUGGCUAGUAGCUGUUAGCCGUUAGUUUGGCGGUUAAAGACGUUUAAAAGUAACUUCGGUCACCAUAGAAACGAUGUGGAUUAUCUUCUAUAGCACUACUUUAAAAGUCGUUUUUUAAAGAAAAACUUGAGAUUAAACACCUCGGACGCCUCACCAGCCGCGGGAUACUGUUAUAUAUAUAUUACUAAACAUGAAAGCAGCAGGACAACGUCAGGAAAACGCGGUGAAAUUGGGCAAACGUGGCUAAUGUCACACAAACAGGGACUCGAGCAGUGAACUGAGGAGAACAGUCAGAUCGAGGCCAGAAGCCGUCAGCUCCUCAGUCGGAGAUAUGAGACGGACGAAUCAUCAUCCACAGUACAGAGAUGUGUAUCUCGCUGCCACUCUGCAUCCAGAAGGAAGGCAACGGUUCCUGUUUUCCACUCUUCAUCAUGACUCCAUCCACAUUUUAAUGGGCUAACCUACAGCACAUGUCAUCCAUUAACAUAAUGAUAUUUACAUGCCUCCAUUUACUGCCUGACAUGUGUGUUAUUAUGAGUCAUGUAAUUUAUUGGUGU